rnacentral:rRNA from 1 species
GACGAACGCUGGCGGCGUGCUUAACACAUGCAAGUCGAACGGAAAGGCCCUGCUUUUGUGGGGUGCUCGAGUGGCGAACGGGUGAGUAACACGUGAGUAACCUGCCCUUGACUUUGGGAUAACUUCAGGAAACUGGGGCUAAUACCGGAUAGGAGCUCCUGCUGCAUGGUGGGGGUUGGAAAGUUUCGGCGGUUGGGGAUGGACCCGCAGGUUAUCAGCUAGUAGGUGGGGUAGCGGCUCACCUAGGCUACGAUGGGUAGCUGGUCUGAGAGGGUGACCGGCCACACUGGAACUGAGACACGGUCCAGACUCCUACGGGAGGCAGCAGUGGGGAAUAUUGCACAAUGGGCGCAAGCCUGAUGCAGCCAUGCCGCGUGUAUGAAGAAGGCCUUCGGGUUGUAAAGUACUUUCAGCGGGGAGGAAGGGAGUAAAGUUAAUACCUUUGCUCAUUGACGUUACCCGCAGAAGAAGCACCGGCUAACUCCGUG